GUAGCUGCUUACAUCUCCACAUUCUGGACCUUUCCUAAUAAUAACAUAACUACUGGAGUGUAAGACAGAUGAAGGCCAGUCUUCCAUCCAUAACCUCUAAGUAACAAACUAUUUGGCUUCCUCCUGUUUUGGGAACAUCUGGACACUCCGAUUCCUCAGGACCUCAGGCAAGCUGCUCAGUCCCUGCACCCAUCUAUGCAGAUGCAGGCCCAGCCUUCUUUAUUAUCCAAAGUCAACUAAAAUCUAACCAGCCUGGUGGGCCUACUGUGUGAUUCCCAUGGCUAUCAACACCACCUCAUACGGAGUGCCACCUGGAUUGGAAUAUUUACUUCAUAUAGAUCAUAUUAUGAUUCAACAGCAGUUUGAGUUUGUGGAAGCCGUUUUAGGUUUUGAAACUGCUAACCGAUAUAAAAUCAAUGACAAACUGGGACAGAAGGUUUACUAUGCUGCAGAAGACUUUAAUUUCUUAACACUCAAUUGCUGUGGGGCCAUUAGACCUUUCACCAUGAGGAUCUUUGAUAACUCAGGUCGUGAAGUCAUAACUCUACGAAGACCACUACGAUGUGAUUGUUGUUGCUGCCCCUGCUGCCUCCAGCAGAUAGAAAUACAAGCUCCUCCUGGUGUGCCAGUGGGUUAUGUUAUUCAAACCUGGCACCCAUGUCGGCCAAAGUUUACAGUUCAAAAUGAGGAGAAACAGGAUGUUCUAAAAAUUAUUGGUCCAAUCUGCGUGUGCAACAUUGGAGGAAGCAUAGAUUUUGAGGGAGAGGCUGUCUAGAAUGAGGAAUGAAUCAGUACUCAGGAGGUUUCCUGUAAACCAAUCCCCCAAUGAAUAAAGGAGCCAAUCACUGGGCCAGUAGGCGGGACUUCCUGGUUGGACAGAGGAAGAGAAGUAGCAGGAGAUCAAAUCUCUUGAUGAAGAAUUCGUGGUUGGCAGGAUUUCCAAGCACUGGUCUGGUAUUCUGAAGGAGAUACUGACAGAUGUAGACACUUUUGGGAUCCAGUUCCCUUUAGACCUCGAUGUAAAGAUGAAGGCGGUGAUGCUUGGUGCUUGUUUUCUCAUAGACUUCAUGUUUUUUGAAAGUGGUGGAGGCCAGAGACCAAAACUUUUCUGGUAAUAAAUCACUGUAAGUGUCCUCAGAAAAUGUGAAACAGGAACAUUGAUUGAAACGGAAAGGAAGCAUGGUCUUUCAUUGAAACCACCUCUGUUGAAUUAAACUAAGAUAUGCAACUCCA